UACGGAGGGAGCUAGCGUUGUUCGGAAUUACUGGGCGUAAAGCGCACGUAGGCGGCUUUGUAAGUUAGAGGUGAAAGCCCGGGGCUCAACUCCGGAACUGCCUUUAAGACUGCAUCGCUUGAAUCCGGGAGAGGUGAGUGGAAUUCCUGGUGUAGCGGUGGAAUGCGCAGAUAUCAGGAGGAACACCAAUAGCGAAGGCAGCUCGCUGGGACGGUAAUUGACGCUAAGGCGCGAAAGCGUGGGGAGCAAACAGGG
rnacentral:rRNA from 1 species